AUGAUAGUGGAGUUUCCCACAUCAAGAUGCUGUAUUUUAAGCUUUUCUGUCAAUUUUGAGAAAGCCAUCAUCUACCUAGACAUGAAUUUUGAGUUAUAAUAAUGUCAGUGGUUAAAAGGAGCUAAUAUCAACAUAUAGCAAAUAUGCACUUUUCCCAAUGAUCCAAACAUUUGGACACCAAACUCACAAAGCCCUGCUGAAAAUGCACCCUGCUUUUGUAACAUUAUGAGAGAUCUAAGGGGGACUGGUAGUACUACUUC
rnacentral:lncRNA from 1 species